rnacentral:rRNA from 1 species
UACGAAGGGGGCUAGCGUUGCUCGGAAUCACUGGGCGUAAAGGGUGCGUGGGCGGGUCUUUAAGUCAGGGGUGAAAUCCUGGAGCUCAACUCCAGAACUGCCUUUGAUACUGAGGAUCUUGAGUUCGGGAGAGGUGAGUGGAACUGCGAGUGUAGAGGUGAGAUUCGUAGAUAUUCGCAAGAACACCAGUGGCGAAGGCGGCUCACUGGCCCGAUACUGACGCUGAGGCACGAAAGCGUGGGGAGCAAACAGG